CCCUGGUGGCCCAGUGGUAAGGAAUCCGCCAGCCAAUGCAGGAGACAUGGGUUCGAUCCCUGAGUCGGGAAGAUCCCCUGGAGAAGGAAAUGGCGGCAGCCCACUCCAGUAUUCUUGCCUGGGAAAACCCAUGGACAGAGGAGCCUGGCAAGCUACAGUUCAUGAGGUGGCAAAGAGUCAGACACAACUUAGCAACUAAACCACAACAACAAUUUUCUUCAAGAAAUUUUAAGUUCACAACAAAAUCAAGCAAGAAGUACAGAGAUUUCUGAUAUAUUCCCUAUCCCACAUAUGCACAAUGGCCCCCACUAGCCACAUCUCUGGUUCACCAGAGUAUGUUUGUUAAAAUCGAUGAACCUACACCCAUGCAUCGUUAUCAUCCAAAGUUCAUCUACAGUCCAUGGGGUUGAAAAGAGCUGGACAUGAUUGAGCAACUAACACACAUCUUGGUGUUGAACAUUCUACCAGUUUGGAAAAAGAUAGAAUGACAUGUGUCCCCAUUAUGGAAUCAUACAGAGUACUUGCAUUGCUCAAAAAAUUCUCCAUGCUCCGCCUAUUCAUCUCUCCCUGCCUCCUAACUCUAGGCAGCAACUGAUCCUUUUACUGCAUUCAUAUUUUUGCCUUCUCCAGCGUGUCAUAUAGUUGGAACCACAGUGUGUAGCCUCUUCAGUUCAGUUGAAUUCAGUUCAGUUGCUCAGUCGUGUCUGACUCUGCGACCCCAUGGACUGCAGUUCGCUAGGCUUCCCUGUCCAUCACCAAUCCCGGAGCUUGCUCAAACUCAUGUCCAUCGAGUUAUUGAUGCCAUCCAACCAUCUCAUCCUCUGUCAUCCCCUUCAGAUUAGCUUUCUUUCACUUUGCAAUAUCCAUUUAAGUUUUCUCCAAGUCAUCUCAUGGCUUAGUAGCUCAAUCUCUUUUAGCACUAAAUAAUAUUUCUUUUGCAUGUUACAUUUGGAUGUAUCAGUUUAUUAUCCAUUCACCUACUGAAGAACAUCUUGGUUGCUUCCAGGCUUUGGCAGUUAGGAAUAAAGCUGUUAUAGACAUCCAUGUGCAGGUUUUUGGUGAACAUAAGUUUUCAGUUUCUCUAGGUAGAUACCAAGGAGCAUGACUGCUGGAUCAUAUGGUAAGAAUACAUUUAGUUCUAUAAGAAACUGCCAACUUGUCUUCCAAAAUGACUGUACCAUACUGCAUGCCCAUCAGCAAUAAACGAGAGUUCCUGUUGUUCCACGUCCUUGCCAGCAUGUGGCGAUAUUGGUAUUACGGAUUUUCACCAUUUUAAUCAGUGUGUAGUGGAAUCUCAUUGUUUUAAUUUGUAAUUCCCUAAUUACAUUUGAUGUGGAACAUCUUUUGGUAUGUUUAUUUGCCAUCUGUACACUUUUUGAUGGGAGAUAUCUGUUUACCUCUUUUGCUCGUUUUUCAAUUCAAUUCAGUUCAGUCACUCAGUCAUGUCCGACUCUGUGACCCCAUGGACUGCAGCGUGCCAGGCUUCCUUGUCCAUCACCAACUCCAGAGCUUUCUCAAACUCAUGUCCAUCAAGUCAGUGAUGCCAUUCAACCAUCUCAUCCUCUGUUGUCCCCUUCUCCUCCUGCCUUCAAUCUUUCCCAGCAUCAGGGUCGUCUCCAAAGAGUCAGUUCUAUGCAUCAGGUAGCCAAAGUAUUGGAGUUUCAGCUUCAGCAUCAAUCCUUUCAAUGAAUAUUAGGACUGAUUUCCUUUAGGAUUGACUGGUUUGAGCUCCUUGCAGUCCUUGGGUUAUUCAUUUUCUUCUUAUUAUUAUUGACUUUCUUAUUAUUGUUAUAAGAGUUAUGUGAACCGUUUGGAUAAUGGUCCACUAUCAAAUAUGUCUCUUUCAAAUAAUUUCUCCCAGUCUGUGGCUUGUUUUUUCUUUCUCUUGAGCAAGUACUCUUACACUAUUUUGGUGGGAAGUAGUUUUUUAGACAACAUUUUGUUUCUAAAAAUAUUUGAGAAACAUGACCAAAAAGAUAGGUAUAUAAAUGUUUAUUGCAACAUUAUUUGUUCUUUCAGAAACAGAAACCACAUGGAGGCAACAGUGUGUUCCCUAAGUCUGCGGUAGGGAGAGGUGUGGAUGUGUGUACUCCACCCUGUGGAAUACUAUAUGGCCAUAAAAAAGAAAGGCUGUUAUAGAACAAUCUGUCGAGUAGAAUCACAUUUUUUUAGGUGGGGAGCCUGGAGGGAAGUAGGCAAUCUAAGCUCAGGUUUAUAAAUGCAAGGGGAGACAAUGAGAGCACACAGCCACCCAAGACUGGGGUUUCCUCUAGUGAGGGCAGGGAAUCAGAAUAUUUUUAUUCUACACCCUUUUAAAAUGAUCUUUUAAUGUGUAUGUGCUACUUGUGUAAAAUAAAAC
ensembl:lncRNA